AGAGUUUGAUCAUGGCUCAGGACGAACGCUGGCUGCGUGCUUAACACAUGCAAGUCGAACGCUGAAGCCUGGUGCUUGCACCGGGUGGAUGAGUGGCGAACGGGUGAGUAACACGUGAGUAACCUGCCCCUGACUUCGGGAUAAGCCCGGGAAACUGGGUCUAAUACCGGAUACGACUGCCGGACGCAUGUCUGGUGGUGGAAAGUUUUUUCGGUUGGGGAUGGGCUCGCGGCCUAUCAGUUUGUUGGUGAGGUAAUGGCUCACCAAGACGACGACGGGUAGCCGGCCUGAGAGGGCGACCGGCCACACUGGGACUGAGACACGGCCCAGACUCCUACGGGAGGCAGCAGUGGGGAAUAUUGCACAAUGGGGGAAACCCUGAUGCAGCGACGCAGCGUGCGGGAUGACGGCCUUCGGGUUGUAAACCGCUUUCAGCAGGGAAGAAGCGCAAGUGACGGUACCUGCAGAAGAAGUACCGGCUAACUACGUGCCAGCAGCCGCGGUAAUACGUAGGGUACGAGCGUUGUCCGGAAUUAUUGGGCGUAAAGAGCUCGUAGGUGGUUGGUCACGUCUGCUGUGGAAACGCAACGCUUAACGUUGCGCGUGCAGUGGGUACGGGCUGACUAGAGUGCAGUAGGGGAGUCUGGAAUUCCUGGUGUAGCGGUGAAAUGCGCAGAUAUCAGGAGGAACACCGGUGGCGAAGGCGGGACUCUGGGCUGUAACUGACACUGAGGAGCGAAAGCAUGGGGAGCGAACAGGAUUAGAUACCCUGGUAGUCCAUGCCGUAAACGUUGGGCACUAGGUGUGGGGGGCAUUCCACGUUCUCCGCGCCGUAGCUAACGCAUUAAGUGCCCCGCCUGGGGAGUACGGUCGCAAGGCUAAAACUCAAAGGAAUUGACGGGGGCCCGCACAAGCGGCGGAGCAUGCGGAUUAAUUCGAUGCAACGCGAAGAACCUUACCAAGGCUUGACAUACACCGGACCGUCCUGGAAACAGGUCUUCUUCUUUGAAGCUGGUGUACAGGUGGUGCAUGGUUGUCGUCAGCUCGUGUCGUGAGAUGUUGGGUUAAGUCCCGCAACGAGCGCAACCCUCGUUCUAUGUUGCCAGCACGUGAUGGUGGGAACUCAUAGGAGACUGCCGGGGUCAACUCGGAGGAAGGUGGGGAUGACGUCAAAUCAUCAUGCCCUUUAUGUCUUGGGCUUCACGCAUGCUACAAUGGCUGGUACAGAGAGAGGCGAACCCGUGAGGGCAAGCGAAUCCCUUAAAGCCAGUCUCAGUUCGGAUCGUAGUCUGCAAUUCGACUACGUGAAGUCGGAGUCGCUAGUAAUCGCAGAUCAGCAACGCUGCGGUGAAUACGUUCCCGGGCCUUGUACACACCGCCCGUCAAGUCACGAAAGUCGGUAACACCCGAAGCCGGUGGCCUAACCCCUUGUGGGAGGGGGCCGUCUAAGGUGGGACUGGUGAUUGGGACUAAGUCGUAACAAGGUAACCGU
rnacentral:rRNA from 1 species